rnacentral:misc_RNA from 1 species
UAGAGUUAUCAAAAACUCCCAAACCCAUGUGAACAUACCUCUCGUUGCCUCGGCGGGCGCCGUCCUACCACCACCGGUGGAGGGGCGAAACCCGCCGACGGCCCCCGAAACUCUGUUUUUCUAUAGCAUUGGACCUCUGAAGCAAAGAUAACUAAAUCAGUUA